AUUUUCCCCAAGGUGGUUGGGGUUUAUUUUAAUCUCCUCAGGAUAUAUUUCCCUUUUUCUGGGUUGGCAAGUAAAUGAGGCGUGAACAACUUGAGAGAGAGAACUGAUGCAUUCUUAUCUAUAAUGGAGACAAUUACUGAAAUAGAGAGUUAUACAUGAUUAUUUAUUUUGCUGGUUUUGGGGUAAUAUGACUAUUAUAUUGCACCUUGGUGGGUUCAGUAGUGAGUGAUGUGGUGCUCAAACAUCAAAUUGCUGUUCCUUAGUUUUUAAAUUUGAGAAAUUGUGUAGUUUUGUAAUGUGGUAACGCCUCAUAAUUCUCCAUUUUCCUUUCUGGAAUUCUGGAAGAA
rnacentral:misc_RNA from 1 species